GGCCGACAGGUCCGGGAAACCCGUUGAACCCCGGUCGUGCUAGGGAUAGGGAAUUGCAAUUAUUUCCCUUGAACGAGGAAUUCCCAGUAAGCGCGAGUCAUUAGCUCGCGUUGAUUACGUCCCUGCCCUUUGUACACACCGCCCGUCGCUACUACCGAUUGAAUGGUUUAGUGAGGUCCUCCGAUUGGACCCGGUCCGGGCGGCGACGUCCGAGCCGGCGUCCGAGAAGACGAUCUAACUUGAUCAUUUAGAGGAAGUAAAAGUCGUAACAAGGUUUCCGUAGGUGAACCUGCGGAAGGAUCAUUA
rnacentral:ncRNA from 1 species